rnacentral:rRNA from 1 species
GAUGAACGCUGGCGGCGUGCCUAACACAUGCAAGUCGAACGGACUCAUAUUGAAACCUAGUGAUUUAUGAGUUAGUGGCGGACGGGUGAGUAACGCGUGGAAAACCUGCCGUAUACCGGGGGAUAACACUUAGAAAUAGGUGCUAAUACCGCAUAAGCGCACAGCUUCGCAUGAAGCAGUGUGAAAAACUCCGGUGGUAUAUGAUGGUUCCGCGUCUGAUUAGCUAGUUGGCGGGGUAACGGCCCACCAAGGCAGCGAUCAGUAGCCGGCCUGAGAGGGUGAACGGCCACAUUGGGACUGAGACACGGACCAG